UCAGCUCCAAAACAGGCGAAAUGGAUAACUAGUCAAUAGGCUUAUUUUUUAAAACCAAGGUUACCAAGCCAUGUACUUGAUUUCCCCUAUGUCAAAAAUUUUCUUGCAUGAGUGAUAAUAAUCUUUAAGCAGAUAUUUUUAAUAUUUUUUCAGAAAAUCAUACAACAUUAUCUACACUGUCUUUGCUAGACAGUGGUCUUAUCAAAGAACUAAUCCCUCCAAUUGGAGACAGAGCCAAGUUCGUAAAAAACUUGGACAACUGGAAUAAAUUAACAAACCCAGAGGAAUGCCCAGACAUAUUUACCAGCAGCAGCCCUACCCCGGUUUUUGUAGAUAAGCUUAAUCCCAAGCAUAGACAAAUACAGAGUGUGAGUGAAUUUCUAAACCCUCUUACUGAUAAUACGAGUAAUACCUCAACUGCCUCAACCCAACUGAAUGAUUCCAACAUCAUUAUAGUAGUACCACUAGCAUUAGAGAGGAUCAGGUAGCUACUACUACCAGUGAGGAUCAGGAUAUAACUUGUUAUGAAGAAAUAUGUUCGGUAAGAUAAAUUCUUUAAAUAAAGUAACUAUCAUCAUCAUCAUCAGUCAAUAAGCGUCCACUGCUAAACAUAAGCCUCUCCUAAGGAGCGCCAUAACACUCUGUCCUCGGCCUUCCUCAUCCAGCCACUACCGGCCACCUACCUAAGGUCAUCCGUCCACCGGAGGACGACCCAUGCUACGUUUGCCUGUUCGUGGUCUCCACUCGAGAACUCGUCUACCCCAACGGCUAUCGGUUCAUUGGCAUAUAUGACCAGCCCACCUCAUUUCUGAUACAAUCCAUCGAGAAACCCCAAGCAUAGCUCUCUCCAUAGCACGCUGAGAGACUAUCGGUGGACCAGUCCUACCGUCAGUGUCCACGUUUCUGCAUCAUACAUCAUUACCGGCCAUUAAGUAACUAUUUGACCUAAAAAUGAAACAGAUACACCUGCAACCUAUAAAAACUCAUUAAAUUAUAAAUUAUUUUGAAAUCUAUAUUUUAUGAUUUUUUAUUAGUUAAUUUAUCUUUCCAGAAAGUGGUUCAGAUGAAGAUAUCCAGUGGCUCAAAAACUGUACGGUACCCUGGCAUUUAGUGGUAGAUAAGUGGCAUAAAACAGCCAAAAAUAGAUUGAAGGAAUUAGAGACUUCUGAAAUUACCAUUGGAACAUACAUGAAUAAAUACCCUGUGUUAAAAACACCACGUGGGCAUGAGCUUCUUACUGAUGUUUUACAGUUCUUAUAUCCAUCGUCAGGGAA